rnacentral:rRNA from 1 species
UACAGAGGGUGCAAGCGUUGUUCGGAAUUAUUGGGCGUAAAGCGCGUGUAGGCGGCUUAGCAAGUCGGGCGUGAAAGCCCUCGGCUCAACCGAGGAAGUGCACCCGAAACUGCUGAGCUUGAGUACGAAAGAGGAUCGCGGAAUUCCCGGUGUAGAGGUGAAAUUCGUAGAUAUCGGGAGGAACACCAGUGGCGAAGGCGGCGAUCUGGGUCGAUACUGACGCUGUGGUGCGAAAGCGUGGGGAGCAAACAGG